GGAGAAGUGCCGGAGUGGUCGAACGGGCCUGACUCGAAAUCAGGUGUACCCUUCUGGGUACCGGGGGUUCGAAUCCCUCCUUCUCCG
rnacentral:tRNA from 1 species